ACUCCUACGGGAGGCAGCAGUAGGGAAUCUUCCACAAUGGGCGCAAGCCUGAUGGAGCAACACCGCGUGAGUGAAGAAGGGUUUCGGGCUCGUAAAGCUCUGUUGUUAAAGAAGAACACGUAUGAGAGUAACUGUUCAUACGUUGACGGUAUUUAACCAGAAAGUCACGGCUAACUACGUGCCAGCAGCCGCGGUAAUACGUAGGUGGCAAGCGUUAUCCGGAUUUAUUGGGCGUAAAGAGAGUGCAGGCGGUUUUCUAAGUCUGAUGUGAAAGCCUUCGGCUUAACCGGAGAAGUGCAUCGGAAACUGGAUAACUUGAGUGCAGAAGAGGGUAGUGGAACUCCAUGUGUAGCGGUGGAAUGCGUAGAUAUAUGGAAGAACACCAGUGGCGAAGGCGGCUACCUGGUCUGCAACUGACGCUGAGACUCGAAAGCAUGGGGUAGCGAACAGGAUUAGAUACCCUGGUAGGAUAGCG
rnacentral:rRNA from 1 species